rnacentral:tRNA from 1 species
GAUCCCGUAGCUCAGCCGGUAGAGCACUUGACUUUUAAUCAAGGAGUCAUGGGUUCGAAUCCCAUCGGGAUCA